rnacentral:rRNA from 1 species
UACGGAGGGUGCGAGCGUUGUCCGGAAUCAUUGGGCGUAAAGGGCGCGUAGGUGGCCUGCUAAGCGUGCGGUGAAAGUCGGGGGCUCAACCCCCGAUCGGCCGUGCGAACUGGGAGGCUUGAGCACUGUAGAGGCAGGCGGAAUUCCGGGUGUAGCGGUGGAAUGCGUAGAGAUCCGGAAGAACACCGGUGGCGAAGGCGGCCUGCUGGGCAGUUUUGCUGGACACUGAGGCGCGACAGCGUGGGGAGCAAACAGG